rnacentral:tRNA from 1 species
GCCCGGGUGGCGAAACAGGUAGACGCAGGGGACUUAAAAUCCCCCGGCCACGGCCGUGCCGGUUCGAGUCCGGCCCCGGGCA